rnacentral:rRNA from 1 species
UACGUAGGGGGCAAGCGUUGUCCGGAAUCAUUGGGCGUAAAGCGCGUGUAGGCGGCCAGAAAAGUCCGCUGUGAAAACUCGAGGCUCAACUUCGAGCUGUCGGUGGAAACUUUCUGGCUAGAGUCCGGAAGAGGAGAAUGGAAUUCCUGGUGUAGCGGUGAAAUGCGCAGAUAUCAGGAGGAACACCGAUGGCGAAGGCAGGUCUCUGGGCAUUAACUGACGCUGAGGAGCGAAAGCAUGGGGAGCGAACAGG